rnacentral:rRNA from 1 species
AUUGAACGCUGGCGGCAGGCCUAACACAUGCAAGUCGAGCGGAUGAAGGGAGCUUGCUCCUGGAUUCAGCGGCGGACGGGUGAGUAAUGCCUAGGUAUCUGCCUGGUAGUGGGGGAUAACGUCCGGAAACGGGCGCUAAUACCGCAUACGUCCUGCGGGAGAAAGUGGGGGAUCUUCGGACCUCACGCUAUCAGAUGAGCCUAGGUCGGAUUAGCUAGUUGGUGGGGUAAAGGCUUUCCAAGGCGACUAUCCGUAACUGAUCUGAGAGGAUGAGCAGGCACAGUGGGAGUGAGACGCGGUCCAGACUCCGACGGGAGGCAGCAGUGGGGAAUAGUGGACGCAGGGGGAAAGCCUGAUCAAUGCGUGCCGGGUGGGUGAAGAAGGUCUGCGUAUGGGAAAGCGCUUUACGUGGUGAAGACCGGCAGUAAGCAAAACCCUUGCUGGUUUGACGUUACCGAGUAAAGAAGCACCGGCUAACUACGUG